rnacentral:rRNA from 1 species
CCUACGGGAGGCAGCAGUGGGGGAUAUUGCACAAUGGGGGGAACCCUGAUGCAGCGACGCCGCGUGUGGGAAGACGGUCCUCUGGAUUGUAAACCACUGUCCCCAGGGACGAAAAUGACGGUACCUGGGGAGGAAGCUCCUGCUAACUACGUGCCAGCAGCCGCGGUAAUAGGUAGGGAGCGCGCGUUUUCCGGAAUUACUGGGUGUAAAGGGAGCGUAGGCGGGGAUGCAAGUUGGGUGUCAAAACUACCGGCUCAACUGGUAGUCGCACUCAAAACUGCAGCUAUUGAGUGAAGUAGAGGCAGGCGGAAUGCCUAGUGUAGCGGUGAAAUGCGUAGAUAUUAGGAGGAACACCAGUGGCGAAGGCGGCCUGCUGGGCUUUUACUGACGCUGAGGCUCGAAAGUGUGGGGAGCAAACAGGAUUAGAUACCCGGGUAGUC